rnacentral:rRNA from 1 species
CAGACAUGCUCCGUGCGUUCAGCCGAAAGGUGUACUCGUACGGUUGCAGGCUAGAGUCUGUUCUUGCGGUCGGAUAAAGGCUUCGGGAAUGUAGCUCCCCUCGGGGAGUGUUAUAGCCCGGACUUGAUACGGCUCUGGGGACAGAGGACCGCAGCGCGCCUUCUUGGCAUUGGCUUCGGCCUUUUCCGCGCUAAGGAUUCUGGCUUAAUGGCUUUAAGCGACCCGUCUUGAAACACGGACCAAGGAGUCUAACAUGUGUGCGAGUG